GUCUCCCACUGACACCUGUCUUUUUUCACAGGAAAGACAGAGGAGGGAAAUCCCCCAAAGGCUCAGGGAUCCGGGAUGGAGGAGACCCUUCAGCAGCUCUGCAAAGAAAUGAAAGCUAUGCGUGAAGAUCUCCAGAAAGUGCAGCAAUCCAAAUGCUCAGAGGAGCCCUGAACAAGGAACUAGGUGUGCCGAUAGAAAAUGCAUCAGAAGACGAGGGCACUGAUACAGAUGCAUAGACAACUCCUGAGCUGGUGAAACAUUUAUCAACAAAAUUAAAGUCUGGCACUCAUUACAUUUCUCUUGAGCUUGGCCCCCACCCCCUGCCCUCCCUGGGCUCGCUGUGUUGGGAAGUGCUCGUGCUGCUGGAAGACUGAGACAAUUUUAAGGCUUUUCUCCCUCCUGUGAGCUGGUUCCUGCUGUGCCAGGGCAGAUCCAUCCACUGCCCGGUUUCAACAAGUGAAGGCAACAGCAGCCAAAGUGCAACUGAAUUACCCAGCGAGCUCUACA